AGCGAACGCUGGCGGCAGGCCUCACACAUGCAAGUCGAACGGAUCCUUCGGGAUUAGUGGCGGACGGGUGAGUAACACGUGGGAACGUGCCCUUUGGUUCGGAACAACUCAGGGAAACUUGAGCUAAUACCGUAUGUGCCCUUCGGGGGAAAGAUUUAUCGCCAUUGGAGCGGCCCGCGUCUGAUUAGCUAGUUGGUGAGGUAAAGGCUGACCAAGGCGACGAUCAGUAGCUGGUCUGAGAGAAUGAUCAGCCACAUUGGGACUGAGACACGGCCCAAACUCCUACGGGAGGCAGCAGUGGGGAAUCUUGCGCAAUGGGCGAAAGCCUGACGCAGCCAUGCCGCGUGAAUGAUGAAGGUCUUAGGAUUGUAAAAUUCUUUCACCGGGGACGAUAAUGACGGUACCCGGAGAAGAAGCCCCGGCUAACUUCGCGCCAGCCGCCGCCGUAAAAC
rnacentral:rRNA from 1 species